rnacentral:rRNA from 1 species
UAACAGGUGUUGCAUGGCUGUUGUCAGUCCGUGUUAUGAAAUGUAUUAUUCUGUAUGUAACGGACAAAACCCUCAACAAUAGUUGCUAUUAUAAU